rnacentral:lncRNA from 1 species
UUCGCCACUUAACCAAAAGAAGCUUCCGCCGUUGCUAUAAGAAAAGAAUAGUGAAUCAGAGAGAAGCAUAGUUACUACACUGCUGACUUAAAAGUAAGGGUUAGCUAAGUGGGAAAUGAGUGGAAAGAGAAGAGCGGGAUCAAUCAGGUAAGCGUCGCGGGACGGGAAAGAAAUAAGCUCUAUAUUAACCCCGAGAAAGUUAGUAGCUGGCUCACUAACGCUGAUUUGGAGUAACUCGCUAACGGAGCCCUAAACAAGUAUACUAUAGGAUUGUGAAUCUCAUGCUCAUGUACGCUCUGCUGCUACAUCUCAUGCAUCCUCUGCUAUUACAUCUCAUGCACCUUCUAUUUCUUUCUAUAUCUAUUCCAAAGGGGUGUCUUAAGUGUUACAGUCAGAAGUCACUCCUCUUUCUUUCUCGCUUCCGAAGCCCAUAAUCCUACAAGGCAAUCAGUGACGUGUCUUAGUUUCGAAGUUUCUCAGUCAAGGGAAAUACUUUCUGCUCGAAGUAUCGAAGUAAAGUCCCUUCUUUAUGCACAUACAUAUACAUAGCCAGACACAAAGGUGUACAAUCCGGUGAAAUUAGACUUGAAGUGUUCAGUAACUAUAGGUUCUAUUACUUGCUCUAGUGACCGGGCCAACCGAUAGGGGAGAACGAAUGGCUCAGGAAUCGACUGGUUCCGAGUAGACUCGUGGAGCUACACAGCUUGGAUUAUUUUCGAAUAUAUAUAAUAAGAGGAGCCGAGCUAAAUGACUUAAAAGAAAAGAGCCGCUGCGAGGCGAGGGGGGGCGUAGAGAGGUCGGUGCACUCACUCCCGUUACGAGAAUGAAAUGACGCGCCACGAGCACUUACAACUCGCACGAAUAGCGCCACUUAGUGGCCGGAGAUGGAUUGAAAAGGAAGCCCACCCCCCUUUUUGGAUUGUGAGAAAGAGCACACAGGACCUUACCCACUAAUCAUCAUCUCAUCUUAGCGAAGCAUAAAACAAACCCACUAAUCAUCAUCUCAUCUUAGCGAAGCAUAAAGAAGCUCCCCCCGCCUACCUACUCGUGUUCGUAGCUCGAUCGGAGGUCAAGAGUGUGGCGGAAAAAAAGAGGUAGUCCGUAUCAAGUGAGACGUGAAUUGCUCAGUAGUGCUUCGCCACUGGACGUUGACCCGCAGGCGGAAAUAGCUUAAUGGUAGAGAUAGCCUUGCCAAGGCAGAGGUUUAGGGUGAAAUUCCCUCCUUCCGUUCCUGGCUUCGUCCUUUAGUGGUAUAGAGUUGAGUGCAUAAGCCCCUUUCUACAAACCUUUAUAUAAUAUAAGGGAAACUCGAAGAGCUUUCUUCGCAUGCUCCUGCAGUACGAGCCUCAUAGCCGCGCUUUAAUAUGAUGAGAAGAAGAGGGGCUCCUUAUAUUCCGAGAAGAAGAGGGGCUCUUUCUAUUCCGCGAAAAUCCUUAUUUACAUCUUAUGGGGGGUGUAUAGCUCAGUUGGUAGAGCAUUGGGCUUUUAACCUAAUGGUCGCAGGUUCAAGUCCUGCUAUACCCAAACCUACCUUACACUAUACAAUGAGUAUGAGUAAGGAUGCGUUCAAAGAGAACUCUUUUGCCUUUGGACUCGCUUCGGCGACUUCGCCCUUUCAGUGACAAGGGUUGUGAGGUAAGGAGUAGUUCCAAGAGUGGCUCGGUCAUCGAUAGGCCCAUCCUUAUUAAUUCUCUCUAUAGGGCAGGCGCUCCCUACCUCUCGCAUUUACUUAUCUUCAUUCUUUUUUCGCCAAGGUAGGUGAUCGGCCUUACUUUUCUAGAAGGAGUGGAGUAUCUUCCAGUAACGGCGAACAGGGGUCCCGCCUGGAUUUCCUUUUUCGUUUAUUUUCUUAUUUCCUCGAAUAUGGAACUUUCGCCCUCCUCCUUGGUGCUCCGCCAUGGUUCCAGCAUGUGAUUAGUGAUUAACUCCAUUGCUUCAUCACCUGAUAGACACCUAAACAGAAUUCCCGGUAUGCCUCUUUUGAAUAGCUUACCAUCAUGCACUAUAUACCUUUUGACCAUCUUCUUGAGAAAGUGCCUUUUGUCCGAUACUCAAUAGAUAUUAUGGCUGUCUCCAAUCCACUAAUGGAUAAAGGAACAUUCUGAUCAAUCGGGGGCAUCCAUGUGCACUGAUUGCUUUAGUUCUUGAAUCACAGCAUGUCUCCCAUCUCCUUCUUUAAUGACAUCUGAAUAUAGCUUAUCGUGAAAGUUCCAUGUAGCUGAGCAGGAGUUCGUCGCUUGCGGAUCUUCUCAUUAUCUUCGCACUUUUCUCUUUGAAGCUAGAGUUGCCAAAGAAUCCGGUAUAUAUGCACAAACUUUCCCUUUCUCGCUUUUGGAGUUCCCAAUUCUAUGUAAAAUUCUGACAGCUGUAACAACCAUUGCGCUGUCCUUCCCGAUGGGGCUGGCCUUGACAGCAAGUACCUUAUCUGAUUAGCCCCCACAACCAACUUUCUCUUGUGCACCAGCAUAUAAUGUCUGAACUUUCUUUUGGGCUGCAUAUACUCAAAAGAUGUAAGCGCUUUUUUCUCUGCUUUAGUGUAUCUCGCUUCCGCUUCUUUGAGAAUUAUACUAGCAUAGUCGAUUGUUGGCUUUUCUUAACCAUUUUGAUCAUCCUGUGCUAGCACUCUAUUCCGAUAAGCAUUAUCAUUGAAAUGAAAACAAGAUAUAGCGUAAAGUGCCUUACCAGCUAUUGGAGCCAUCAUCACUGGGGCGUUCGCUAAGGUCUCCUGUCUUUUGGAAAAGGCUUGCGGACAAGUAGCAGAAUCUUGUCAAUAUGCCUCUUACCAUUUGGACUCUACCUUUUUCUCUUUGGCAAUUCAAUAAGAGGGGCGGAACAGAAAAGGCAGCUAACCGCGUUGUGAUGAAAUCAAUGUUUGCCUUCAAGCGUUAAGUAUUGCCCACUUAUGGUUAAUAGCAAGUUGAGUAUAGAAUUGAUUGGUAAUUAGACAGAGGCAGAGCAGACUAAGCACUAUAAGGACAGAGGCAGUCUAAAGGGGCUGGCUUAUGCACUCCACUCGUUACCACUAGCAGCAUAGACACCGUUAUCAAGGACAGAGGCAGUGGCAUAGACACCGUUAUCCAAGUGAAAAGCAUAGAAAGAGACAGCAGACAAGCAUCUCCUCAAUCAGUUCCGUAAUAUCUAUUUCUUGGAUUUCUCUAUUAUGAGUUAAGUAAUAAGUGAGUUUAGUGUUUGUUUACUUAUAGAUAUAAGUGUGUGUCAUCAACGGAAUUUCUUAUGGUUGUGUUUAUUACAUUGCUUGUUGACUUUCAUUACUCAUAUCGGCAUAAUAAUCCUAUACGAUAAGUACAUAGGCAUAGGUACCGUUAUCUAUAUUAUAUGAGACCGACUGAACUUCCCGUGUAGUGACAGCUUCUUACUAUUCUACUAUAUACUUAAUUGGACUAUUCUACUAUAUACUUAAUGGAGCUCCCGAUAAACAGUUUCGUUUAACUAGACUAGAUGAUUCUUCUUGCUACAACAGUUGGACCUGUAGCGCCAGUAAGAUAAUAUUUCUUCCCGCACCACACCGAAGCAGUUCCUUGUAAGAUCCAGCAGGUAGAAAAAAGAAUACUACUUUCAAUCAGGUUCCCCACAGUAGAAAGUAUGUCCUCAAGAUGCAUCGACUGAUACUAUGAUUGUCGGAGAGGUAUUGUCUUAAUCAAAGCAUUGAUUGUGUUCACCACUCUCCUUUCUUUGACGGCGGGUUUCAGGGCACUACCAAGCAUUAGCCCAAGAGAAGCGAUAUCGCAAACAAACUUAUAGCAUUUCCGGGCGAGGGCAACCACACUCUUCGUUUCUAGAAAUGGGGAACAGCAUCGCUUGAUUAAAGGAGUUAGAAUAGAAUAGGUCUAGAGAUCUGUGCCACUUUCUGGUCUGUCUGUUCCUCUGUAUCAAGCCCGUAGCCGUGCAGCCUGAAGCCUGUCUAAUCUUCUCUUUCUCGCAAGCUUCAAAGAUUCGAAAAGGAACUAAAUUGACUGAUUGAAUGGUGGAAUGGACAUCCCAUGUCUUCUUGAUCAAAGUAUGUUGUCAGAAGAAUUGAGACUUUCUCAGUGGCAUAAGCCGAAGUAGAAGCAUUAGCGUACCCAACGUACAAGACGGAUGCCGAGGCAAGAAACCCCGAAAACGCUAUUCCUGAAGGAAAUGUGCCUUCCACCUUUAGAUACCAGGAAAGGGUAGACGAAAGAAAGAAGGUAUCAGGGAGUGUGAAGACAUCGGUUGAAGCGCUUCGUUUACAGACGAAAUAAGUUGCAAGCAAGACUACGGGACUAAAGAAUAGAAUCCAUUUCUCUUUAUCACAUCACGGGGCUUGUCUAUCGAUCUUAGUCUUAGAUAAAUGGGUGGUAGCCACUACGUCAAGAGCAAAUCUCUAAUCUAUAGAGAUGUAGAAAGAGAAGAUUGCCUUUUCCUCGGUGAGUUGAAGGGACUCCUUCGUUGAAACCAGACCUCCACUUUUCUCUUUAGAAACAAGUAGCACUUUACAGAUAUAGAGUUUUCAGAUCUUAUUUGUAUUAAUGAGCUUACUAGUAUAUUAAUAGUGAUCUUGUAGGAGUGUGAGUUAUUAUAUUCCUUGUAUUCCUAUUAGGUUAUUAUAUUCCUUUGUAUUCCUAUUGCAGCUGAUUUGCGUAUACGAGGUUUAGUUUGAUUCUUUUCUUUUGCUCUGGACGAAGCAAUUCUAUAUGAUUUCCUUUUGCGCCAGUAAAACCCCAUGAUGAGCCUAGUUCACGCUCCACCAGAUGUGAGACUUGUCGACGAGUCUAGUAUACGCUUGGUUGCUCCUCUAAGAAGGGAGUUACGUUACCGCCUAUAACUGAUGCUAUAUAUCUAUCCAGAAAGAAGGAAUGCACCCAAACCUCUACACCUAUAAACUCUCUACUUCGAUUUAAGAACCGAAAUAAGGAAGUAUCACCUUAACCUGAACCUCAGGAAACUUAUACUUAAACAUUCGAAUCUAUUCUAUUCUAUUUGCUACAGCGGGACAAGAAAGACAUUCUCUAAGACAACACCUAACUCGACUAGAUUCUUUCCUUCAAAGCGAAAACAAGUACUAUCUUAUUACCGGAAUCCAACAAGUUGCGGAUCAGUGUAUUUACACUUUACCUAGUGCCUUCGAUACGAAAGAUUUCAUUAAAGAUUAGUUGACUCGGUCCGGUCCUCGGCGCAAGGCAAGACUCAGUGCGUUAGGAUCAGUGAGCAGCUCAAUUCCCAUUAUAUAUGAGGUGCACCAGAGAUGGAUUCAAUUCAAACUUGAGAGUUUCGGUCGGGCAAGACGAACAAAGUAACAGGGCGAGGGCAGUAAAGCAAGGGUUUUGAGGUCGUUAGUUUCAGUUUGAAAGUCAGGCAAUAGGGUUUGGGCUACUGCUGAAUAUAAGGGCCCUUGUAUACUCUUAUGAUUCUUCCUUAUCCGAAAAAGUAGUAGAGCAACUGAAGUAGCAAAGCAAGAAUCGGAAAUCACAAAUAUAGUAUAUGUUAGUACGUUGCCAUGAACAAGUCCUGUAUUCAUCUGUCCGGGCCGGGGUAGCCAAUGCCCCUUGGGUAGCAAGUAGUGGUCAAGUUUCAGAAGAGAUGACUGACUCUAAGGUCUAUAGGUAACCAACCCUAGGCAUUAUAUCAAUAGGUAACUCUAAGACUAGGAUUCCACUGGGGAUGAAACUAUAACAAUUAUAAAGAUAGAAUGAAUUCAUAUUGAUUUCUUAUACAUAGCAGUCCGGGUAGGGAACUAAGGUAUUCUUGCCAGCCAACACUCUCACCUCCCUCUCGCACAGGAAUGGAAUAGAAAACUCUCUGCCACCUGAUCGGUCUGUAACAAAGCAAGACUCCCUUACAUUACCCAUUAGGAAAGAGAUUCAUUCCUCUAACGGAAAUCGAUUCAUGAUGGCGACUCCCUACUCUGAUAAUUCCUACAGCUGUAGCGAGCUCCAACCAACUGCUUCUGUCGUUCUGUGCCGAACCACACGAGAUAGAGAAAGAAUGCAAAGGUAAGAUGUCACGUCACCACAUUAUUGACUGCUCGAUUAGUAACAUAUUCUAUAAUUUAUGAAAAACAGAGCCAAUACAGAAUGAAAUCCCCUCUUUCCUUUUCCUACUCGCUUGUGAUAAGGACAGAAAGGGGUCAAGUAAAAGUAUAAGGAAGCACUCAGAAAGUGGCAGUCCGCAGGAAGAACUUAUGGUACUUAGUUCAGGUUUAUUGACCUUUAUUUGUCUCCGUUAGCGUUUCACUUAACUAUUCCAUGAUUCUAUUCUGUCUUUCUAAGGGGUUAAAGGAUAAGUAUAGUUGGAAUCGAGAAAGUUCCGGGGAGUUCAUAAUUGCAUUGCAUAAAAGGAGGAUAAGUAGUGGCUGCGGCGCGUCGAGGCACUUCUUCGACGGUCCCCGUCCGCCCUAGGCCCGUAAGGCCGAUCUUUUAGGGCCCAUCUCUAUCUCCCUCUAUCCCAGAAAAGUACUCUAUACUAUAAGAAAGAAGGACAGCUCAGUUCUAUCUAUGAGGUAAAGAUACCUGAUGAAGGCAGAACAUCUAGCUAGAUAAUAGGUUUCCGGGCAGAGCAGCUCGAGGAGGGGCUUCUAUCUCUAUUGAUCGAGCUUAAGUAUA